GAAGGUAAUAUCUGAUCUCAAUUUGUUGCAAGAAACACACAAACAGUAGUUAGAUGCGGCAAGGAGUGUCUUUCUGGCUUUAUUUGUAGGACUUUAUGGUGUUCUAUACUUCCAUUGGAAAAAUAGCACAUUCUGGGAUUUACCAUGCUUGUCCCUCUUGCCAACUUACCUAAAAGGCAGAAAGUCAGACACAAGAGUAGGAAGUCACUUACGUUUCACUCAAGAUGAUUUGUCCAUGCUGUUGAAUUUUCUACUCACUGCUUCACACCUGCGGUGUUCAAUUCAUACGCUAGGAUCCAGGGUUUUUGAACUUUAGACCAAAUGUUGCAAUCUCAAAUUUGGGAAUUCAAAAUGGAAUGGAAAUAAAUAAUUUCUGAGUUUACGAGUUCAAAAAGAAUGAACAACAG
rnacentral:misc_RNA from 1 species